rnacentral:rRNA from 1 species
UACGUAGGUGACAAGCGUUGUCCGGAUUUACUGGGCGUAAAGAGCGCGCAGGCGGUCGUUCAAGUCGAGUGUGAAAGCCCCCGGCUCAACUGGGGAGUGUCGUGCGAUACGGGCGGACUGGAGGCCAGUAGGGGGAUGCGGAAUUCCGGGUGUAGUGGUGGAAUGCGUAGAGAUCCGGAGGGACACCAGCGGCGAAGGCGGCAUCCUGGACUGGUCCUGACACUCAUGAGCGAAAGCGUGGGGAGCGAUCCGG